rnacentral:lncRNA from 1 species
UAGUCAUAAAGGCCCAAGUUUCUAUCCCAUUCCUUAAGCCCAAUACCCAAUACCUAUUAAGUUAAUCCUAUAGACCCUUCUAAAAUCUUCUUUGGAACAAAAAAUAAAUAAAAAGACUCUAAAGACCUAGGAGAAAAUACACAAAAAAUGACCUUAGACCUAAUUUCCUAGAUAUAAGCUAACGCUUAUCAGCUAAAGAGAGUGAAAAAAUGCCUAAAAGAUCGAGAAGAAGAAAAGAGGCGUUUGAAAAAAGGCUGACAGCUGUAGAGACUAAGGAUACCCCUGAUCUCGUCUCUUUCACCCGACCCCCUGUUCUCUUUCUUCUUCAAGAGCCAUUUUCAUGGCCGAUUCUUUAAGGGACACAAAAAUACGCUAGACACAGUACAGAAAGCGCCGCUGUAACACCCAAAUAACCCCCCAUCGAUUCCAUCUUCUUCAGCUAGAAGAAGCAGCGAGAAUCCAUAAAAACAUACCUAUACACUCUAAGAAAGAAGUCAGUCGUUCUUCUUCUUCUUCAUUUAAACGAACACCUCUAGAGACUUGAAGCUUUUUUGGCCGCUGAUACACGAGAGACUCCCCCACCCGUUCUCUUCCUCUUCAACAACAGCCGUUGAACACCAUAGCACACAGACACGAGAGAUGAAGGAGCGGUGGCAGGUCUAAUUCCCAAAACUCGCCGGAGACCAGCUGCACAACACCCAUCGUCCCACUUCCUCUUCAAGUCGCCUGUGUCGUGUCUAUUCUUUUGGUUUUGGUUUCUCAAAAUGUUGAAGUUGCUGUUCGAGUAGGGUUGUGAGUCGAGGUCGGAGCUCGCGUUUAUUGUCCCUAAUUUGGGUAGCUGUUUUUCUGAUCAAAUUCAUCAUCGAGGUCCGGUCAAGGUUCAGUCCGUAUUUUGCUGUUGUUAGAUGAGCUUGUGCCGAGGUUCUGUACUAAUUCAAUAUUUAGAAAGGAAUUUUUGCUCACACUCUAACUUUACUUAUCUUUCUAAUUGCUAGAUCUUGUGUCAUGGCUCUUUGAAUUUUUGUUUGAUUUUGCUUGUUUUCGUUUUACUGCUUACGUAAUAAUGGCACUUUGGGAUUUCAUGAAUACUUAAGGGAGGAGAAUUAUUGUGUGGAUUCCAUAGGGAGAAAAGUAGAAAACAGCUCAACAAAAAUUAGUAUACGAUUUUCUCUUUUGCAGAGUCAUAAGGAGUAAGAGAGAUCCAAAUGUACAGUAGUAGCCAUAAGGACAUUGAGAUUUGAACUUAUACACUACAUUUAAAUUGUGAAACAAAUCAAUUUGGAUUUAGUAUAUAUCAAAUUUUAGAGUUGAUUUGAGUUUUGUUUACUAAAAAUACAAAAUGAGCUUAUACUUCUUUAUUUGAGCUCAAACUUGAUCAUAUAAGCUUAUAAAGCUUUCUAUCUGUAUAAUUUUCUCAGCAAUACAGUUAAAUGUGGCAUUACUAAAUAGAAUACUACGACAAUAUAAUUGCAACUUGUGUAACUGGUCAAGUUCUACUUUUAUGGAUUGGUUUAUGGAUCGCCUAUUAUCUAAGCCUACUCAAGUUUCUUUAGAGAUUGAUUUUCAUAAAUCUCAUAUGGCCCUCACAUAAAUACAAAAUUAGUAUAGAAAAUUCCUUAGAACUUUCGUAAUUUGUUUUAGGCCCGUUAAUUAAAUAAUUAUCAUAAUUACGGGUACGGUUCCCGUGACGUAGUUGUGAUGUUUAAUUUUUAAAAUACGGGGGUACAUUUAUGUGACCUGGCCACAAUUUAACCUUGUUAAUAGAAUAAACAUGUUGUGGAUUGUGAGUACGGUUCCCGUGACACGACUCGCGACCUGUAAUCUAAGUAAUUAGUUGUAUAACAAUUGGAUUAUUAAAAGCGGUUUAAAAGGAAUAAAAUGCACAUAGGUUUCAAAGAUAUUUUAAAAGCAAAUAAAUAGGCCAACAAUAACAGUGUAGCGACCGUGCUAAAAUCACGGAACUCGGGAAUGCCUAACACCUUCUCCCGGGUUAACAGAAUUCCUUACCCGGAUUUGUGUGUUUGCGAACUGUAAAACAGAGUUAAUCUUUCCUCGAUUCAGGAUUUAAAAUCGGUGACUUGGGACACCAUAAAUUAUCCCAAGUGGCGACUCUGAUCUUAAAUAAAUAAUCUCGUUUUGAUUGUCACUUUAAGUUGGAAAAAACUCUCUUAUACCCUUCCGGGGGUAGUAAAAAGGAGGUGUGACAACAACCACGUGGUGGCAAUGAUCCAUCUAAAGUUAUUAAUGGUAAUCCGCGCCGUGUCGUAACGUUAAAUCAUGCGCUUCUUGGGAGGCAACCCAUGUGUUUUUCUUCUUUCUUUUUUUUGAUUUUUUUCUUAGUGUAGGAUAUGUUUUUGGACUAAAUGGUUGUGAGAAGUGUGUAGGGAUGUUUGAUGCAGUGCAGGGCUAAGCUGA